AGAACAUUGGCAACACUCAGCCAAGUUGCUGGGUCGGGUGAGGGGAUCCAAAGGGGAAACGAGCCUGACCCAGAGGGUUCUAAGAGGCCGAGGUGGGUGCAGGGGCAGAGAAGGCUGCAUGGGGAAAAGGAAGCAGCUGGCGAGGGGACAGGUCCUGGGCCUGGGGCCCUGGGAACUCAUUACCUGUUCAAAGAACUCAUCCAUAAAGUGGUCCCGAUCCACGUGAACCACCUCCUCCUCAUCGUCACUGUCUUUCGCCUGGAGGCAAAGGAAGGCUAGAUCCGUGAGCAGCCCCAACCCGGACCCCCAAGACGGGCACUUGAGCAUGCUAACCCUCUACCUGCUACCCACCCCUCAGUUCCAGGCUGAGAGAGGGCUCUUGGGGAGGACCAUGGGCAGAGGGACGCUGAGAGCAUCAAAAGUCAGAAUGAAGACUGGACUGUCCUGUGAAGCAAGGCUCUGGAGGCCAAGACAGCUCUCAGGCCAAAGGGCUCUCGAGGAAUUAAGCAAAAAUCAUCUCUGGGCUGCCUGUCUUGUGGGUCAGACUUAUCCAGGAAGGGGAUGGUAUUCAGACCAGCUGCCACUGACCAACCGCUAUGGAUGCAUUUCAGUAUUUUUUUUUCAGGUACCAGGGAUCGAACUGAGGACCUUGCACUUGCAAGGCAGGCACGGCUCCACUGAGCUAAAUCCCCGGCCCCUGCAUGUCAGUAUUUUAACCACCAAGUACUAAAUGUCAGCCUUGCAACAAGGAGCCUUGAAUGGUGUCCCAGGAGCCUGGACCUCGUCGGCAAUCUCUAGCAAACCUGCCCAGGUCUUGAUUUGCUCCUGUUCUCUCCCUUGCUGCCCCACACCCAGCCAUGUGCCCGACAGCAGGGCCCAGUGAGCAAGCACAGCCAGGCCGAGCAAGCACAGCCAGGCUGGGAGGGCCGGAGGGCUGCAGGCAGCAAGCGCUCUGUUGUCAGUGCUCCCUCUCCCGCCCACUCCUGACCCUCCCGGCAGCGGCUCUUCUCUGCUUUCACUCACUCUCACCCAGCCCCUUCCACCACACACACACCCACUCUCCCUUGUUCGGAUUUCCCACUUGCAACCUGCAGCUGCUCAGCCCUCCACCCGCAGAGCCAAGACACAAAGGGAUUUGCCCACCCACACCACCACCGCCGACAGACAGACCAGUGACACAGACAGAAGAGCUGACACAGGCACAGAAAUAGGCCUGACGCCCACGGACCCUGGCGUGCUGAUGUGCACUUGCACACAGACUAAUGGCGAAGUGCGCUGACAUGCACACGCAUGAGCUGAGGUCCCGGUGCAUACCCAGAGCUGGGAAGAGGGGGCAGGGAGGCCUUCCCAGGCUUCCCACGCCUGACUUCACACUCCUCUCUGCUGGGACAGGGGUCUGAGGACAAAAUCCGAGCCCAUGGGCCGGGGAUGUAGCUCAGUGGCACCGUGCCUGCCUCACAAGCGCAAGCUCCUGAGUUCGAUCGCCGGAACCAAAAAAAAAAAACCAACCCGAGCCCAUGAAGCUUAAUUGCAUCUGGAGCCCUAAUCAGGCCCAGUGGAAAUUUAAACAGCUCAUCCUGAUUUCCAGAAAGAAUCUGGGUAGAGCUCAGGCAGAAUCUAGACUGGAGAGCCUGAACGAAACCAAGGCAGGAUCCAAACAGCCUCUGCCUGGGGUGCAGCCAGCUGCGACCCAGAAGACUGAGCAGACAGCUCAGGCUGGACUGGACCAGGCUCAGCCAGGUCCCAGACAGCUCAGCUUAAAUCUAGACAGAGCUGUGGGACCCGAAUGCAGCCCACACAGCCUAGAGAACUCAAAUGGGAAUGGGCAGGCCCCACUGCCCUGGGAGAGCCGGCACCACAUUUGGCCCAAGCUGCUCGGCCUCCCUCCGUCCUGUGGACAGGACAGACAGGAGCCACCCCUGGCCAGCAUGUGCUCAGACGCAGACGUCCCAUCUCUGCCAGGAAAGGGUGGCUGUUUCACCCAUGCCGCCCACACAGGAGGGUGGCACAGUGCUGGCCAUGGAACCCAAGGCUUCGAAUAUGGCAGGCAAAACCUGUACCCCAUGACUUUGACCUAUCGCUUCAGAUCUCACAGACAACCUUGCAAGCCUUCCUCACUCCAAGAGCCAUGAAAGAUUUUCUCCUUAUUUUCUUGAGAGUCCCAUAAAGCUGACAGCCCCAAAUUCUAAGUCAUCAGUCUGCCCACGCUCCCGUACCCAAAAGAAAUGAAGGCGAAUUCAGCAAGGGUCCACCAUCCUCGGCCUCGCAGGUCCCUGGGUAGUCAGCACCCUGCGCCCCACCUCGCCGGCACCGCAGGGGCGUAGCUGGUACGUCG